UCUGUAUUUCAUAUACAAGAUGGCUUUGGUUUUAUUUUAGGAAAAAUCUGAAGGGAAGGUAUUUGUAGUGGAAGGAACAGAACAACAGAAUGAGGAGAAUGUUAAUGAAACAGUAGCACAGUCCCCGGAGACCAAAGUGCCAGUGGCUUUUGUUUAAGCAAGCAUGAUUCAGAUCUAAGCACUACUAAUGGGGACUAUGGAUGUCCAAGAGCACUGCUUUGAAAUAGAGAAUGCAGCAGUCUAAAUGGCUAAAUUCCUACAUUCAUCUGCUCAUCUUCAUUGUUUAAACCUCAACUAUCUUGGAGCCAGGAAUGGAUAUCACUCCAGAAGUAGGGAUGACUCCCAACCUUAGUAUCCAAAGAAUGAAGGUUUGAAGAUGUGGCAAGGGUCACCAUCAAGGAGGAAGUAGGUCCCCGAGUAUCCCUUUUUAUAAAAGUAUUGACUGUUAACGAGU
rnacentral:sRNA from 1 species